AUGAACGCUGGCGGCGUGCCUAAUACAUGCAAGUCGAGCGAACAGACGAGGAGCUUGCUCCUCUGACGUUAGCGGCGGACGGGUGAGUAACACGUGGAUAACCUACCUAUAAGACUGGGAUAACUUCGGGAAACCGGAGCUAAUACCGGAUAAUAUAUUGAACCGCAUGGUUCAAUAGUGAAAGACGGUUUUGCUGUCACUUAUAGAUGGAUCCGCGCCGCAUUAGCUAGUUGGUAAGGUAACGGCUUACCAAGGCAACGAUGCGUAGCCGACCUGAGAGGGUGAUCGGACACACUGGAACUGAGACACGGUCCAGACUCCUACGGGAGGCAGCAGUAGGGAAUCUUCCGCAAUGGGCGAAAGCUUGACGGAGCAACGCCGCGUGAGUGAUGAAGGUCUUCGGAUCGUAAAACUCUGUUAUUAGGGAAGAACAAAUGUGUAAGUAACUAUGCACGUCUUGACGGUACCUAAUCAGAAAGCCACGGCUAACUACGUG
rnacentral:rRNA from 1 species